UUUUACUCCACAAAGAAAAUUUACUACUCUUUCCUUUUGUUCCAUAACAGGAAGUGAAAAAAAAAAUGCUGAAAGCAGCUGUGCUUAAAAAAAUAAUAAAAAAAAAGGUGACAACAUUUGCUUCACAUCAUAGAUGACGAAAAUUGAAAAUUCACUCCUAAAUAAGAAAGGGUGCGACCAAAUGAAACACAUGCUAAAUUGCUAACCAAACCAGAUUUUCCCCUUUCUGUACUUGCACGGUUUUAGAUUCUCCAUUACCUUAAAAAGUUCAUUUGCCAAUGAUGCGAAGUCUUCAGCUCCAUUUUGCAGCUCUGCAGUACGCCUGCUGAUUCUCUGAUAAAAGCAAAUAUAAUUGCAAUACCAAUACUUUUGGUUAGUUUUUUUGGAUAGACACGAUAAAAUACACAGUAGUUUAGUUUUCAAACUAAGGGUGACAACAAGCUCCAAUUCUUCUUCUGAUUGGAAGAGAAAACUGAUGGGUUCAUCUGCAGCAGCAGCAAGGACCUUAUCAUGAAGACAAGGAAGAGACUCUGGAAUCCUGAAACCAUUUUCACCAGACAGUAGUGAGGCGAAGGCCAACUCACACCCAUUUGCCAAUGUAAUCAGCCCAUUAUCAAAACUCAUAUUCUUCUCCAUGUUUGUUUUGUAGUUCCACCUAAGAAUUGACAUUA
rnacentral:misc_RNA from 1 species